GGGUCAGUAGGUUGGUCGUGCCACCGGUACGUACUGGUCUCACUGAUUCCUCCUUCCUGAAGAACCGUAAUGCCAUUAAUUAGGUGUUGCGGGGAAACAGGACUGUUACUUUGAAAAAAUUAGAGUGUUUAAAGCAUGCUAUCGCUUGAAUACAUUAGCAUGGAAUAAUGAAAUAGGACGAUCGAUCCUAUUUUGUUGGUUUCUAGGAUUGACGUA
rnacentral:rRNA from 1 species